ensembl:lncRNA
UACCGACAGGGCAGAGAGGGUAUGAUUGAUACAGUCAGGGCGAGAGGGAGGUAUUGAUACCGACAGGGCAGAGAGGGAGGUAUUGAUACUGAUAGGGCAGAGAGGGAGGUAUUGAUACCGACAGGGCAGAGAGGGAGGUAUUGAUACUGAUAGGGCAGAGAGGGAGUGCUAAAAGAAAUAAUAACUUUCAAGGAAGAAGCAGGAGGCUGCAAUACAACUGUUUAAAGAGUCUGUCCAAGUAAAGGAGAGAAAAUGUAAAGGGGGAGAGGUGGUUUCUCUGGUUCUAUGAAGGGAGUGAACUUGAAAAAGGAAUGGAAUUUGGGGCGGUAGAGGACAGACUAGCAUAGCAUUCCUACUCCCUUGUGGGCUGAGGUAAGCUACAGUAUACAGG